rnacentral:rRNA from 1 species
CCUGAUCCAGCCAUGCCGCGUGAAGGAUAAGGUCCUAUGGUGCGUAAACUUCUUUUGACGCAGAGCAAUAAGGGACACGCGUGUUCCGAUGAGAGUAUGCGUCGAAUAAGCAUCGGCUAACUCCGUGCCAGCAGCCGCGGUAAUACGGAGGAUGCGAGCGUUAUCCGGAUUUAUUGGGUUUAAAGGGUGCGUAGGCUGUUGGAUAAGUCAGCGGUGAAAUCACCACGCUUAACGUGUUGUGUGCCGUUGAAACUGUCUGGCUUGAAUGCGCUCGUCGUGAGAGGAAUGUGUGGUGUAGCGGUGAAAUGCAUAGAUAUCACACAGAACACCGAUUGCGAAGGCAUCUCACGAGGGCGCUAUUGACGCUGAUGCACGAAAGCGCGGGUAUCGAACAGGAUUAGAUACCCUGGUGGUCCGCGCUGUAAACGAUGAUGACUAACCGUUGGUCUGGUAUGGAUCAGUGGUCAAGCGAAAGCGUUAAGUCAUCCACCUGGGGAGUACGGCCGCAAGGCUGAAACUCAAGGAAUGACGGGGCCGCACAGCGAGACUGUGUUAUCAGAUCCAGACUAC